rnacentral:sRNA from 1 species
ACGAUGGUUGGUACUGACAGGUCCGGUA